UGCAGUCUUGUCAAAUUCAGUGUGUUCAUUUCAGUGAACAACACUGGCCAAAAUGGCUGCCACAGGAAAUGUAGUUCAUGGGCCCCAUGUCCUCCUGUGGACACUGGGGAUAAAUCUGUGAUUACAGACAAAG
ensembl:snoRNA small nucleolar RNA SNORA5